rnacentral:rRNA from 1 species
UGAGGAAUAUUGCGCAAUGGGGGAAACCCUGACGCAGCAACGCCGUGUGAGUGAUGAAGGCCUUCGGGUCGUAAAGCUCUGUUAGGAGGGAAGAAAAGUUCGUGAUAAAUAGUCACGAAUCUCGACGGUACCUCCAGAGGAAGCACCGGCCAACUCCGUGCCAGCAGCCGCGGUAAUACGGAGGGUGCAAGCGUUGUUCGGAAUUACUGGGCGUAAAGAGCGUGUAGGCGGCCAACCAAGUCAGAUGUGAAAUCCCUGGGCUUAACCCAGGAACUGCAUCUGAAACUGGCUGGCUAGAGUACAGGAGAGGAAGGUGGAAUUCCUGGUGUAGAGGUGAAAUUCGUAGAUAUCGGGAAGAACACCGGUGGCGAAGGCGGCCUUCUGGCCUGAUACUGACGCUGAGACGCGAAAGCGUGGGGAGCAAACA